AUAAAUGAGUACAUUGAUAGGAUCACAUCAAACAUCUUUUUUUUUUCUUUUUUUUUUUUUACUCAAAACAUUAUGGGUCCCUUAAUGCAUUCAGAGUGAUGAGAGAAGAAAACCUCAGAACCGCAUCAUCUAUGCUGGUAGCAGGAAUUCCUUAUCUACGCCAAAUAGAAAUUCUUGAAAUGCCGAAGAUAUGAAUGUGCCAGCUCUCUGGCCUCUUGCCUGAACCAAUAUGACAGAAAAUCUAUCUUGGUUGAUUUUCCUGGACUUGGCUUCUCCGCUGCUGGUCUCAUGGUGCUCACCUGAUCCUCCUUCCUGAUCCGCCCUCCCGGAACUUCUCAGAGCUCUGAGCAGCUGCGUCCUGGCCAAGAACUGGGAAGACCUUUCCAUGGGGUCAACAGAAACUACAACAACAAAAAAGAGGUAACUAUUAAUGGGGGAAAAAAAGUAUAAGAAAGGCAAUGGGAUCAGAGUUUGCUACUUUGCUUGGGAGUGAUUUAUAUCUAUAUGUAGCUAUAAUCACAAAAACACAAAUAUUGGUUUAGAAUGAGAGGAAGGGAGGUUGGGAAGGUGGAGUGUAUGUAAGCUAAGACUCUCAUCUAUCAGUCCAGGAAGUCAAUGGAUAGUGUCUAUAAAGUUUAUUCAUCAAGAAUGAAUGCAGUGCCCUGGCUGGGUAGCUCAGUUGUCCCCAUAUGCCAAGGUUGUGGGUUCAGGACACAUACAA